rnacentral:rRNA from 1 species
UACGGAGGGUGCAAGCGUUGUUCGGAAUCACUGGGCGUAAAGCGCACGUAGGCGGCUUCUUAAGUCAGGGGUGAAAUCCUGGAGCUCAACUCCAGAACUGCCUUUGAUACUGAGGAGCUCGAGUCCGGGAGAGGUGAGUGGAACUCCGAGUGUAGAGGUGAAAUUCGUAGAUAUUCGGAAGAACACCAGUGGCGAAGGCGGCUCACUGGCCCGGUACUGACGCUGAGGUGCGAAAGCGUGGGGAGCAAACAGG